rnacentral:rRNA from 1 species
UACGGGGGGGGCAAGCGUUGUUCGGAAUUACUGGGCGUAAAGGGCGCGUAGGCGGCCUGUUAAGUCACACGUGAAAUCCCUCGGCUCAACCGGGGAACUGCGUGUGAUACUGACGGGCUUGAAUUCGGGAGAGGGAUGUGGAAUUCCAGGUGUAGCGGUGAAAUGCGUAGAUAUUGUGAGGAACACUAGUGGCGAAGGCGAGACUCUGGACAGUUCCUGACGCUGAGGCACGAAGGCCAGGGGAGCAAACGGG